GCCCCGCUGGCGUAGUGGAAACGCACUUCUUUCGUAAUGAAGAGUCAAGAGUUCAAUUCUCUUGCGGGGCUC
rnacentral:tRNA from 1 species